UACGAAGGGGGCUAGCGUUGCUCGGAAUCACUGGGCGUAAAGCGCUCGUAGGCGGAUCUUUAAGUCAGGGGUGAAAUCCUGGAGCUCAACUCCAGAACUGCCUUUGAUACUGAGAAGCUUGAGUCCGGGAGAGGUGAGUGGAACUGCGAGUGUAGAGGUGAAAUUCGUAGAUAUUCGCAAGAACACCAGUGGCGAAGGCGGCUCACUGGCCCGGUACUGACGCUGAGGUGCGAAAGCGUGGGGAGCAAACAGG
rnacentral:rRNA from 1 species